rnacentral:rRNA from 1 species
GAUGAACGCUGACAGAAUGCUUAACACAUGCAAGUCAACUGUGGCGGACGGGUGAGUAACGCGUAAAGAACUUGCCUCACAGUUAGGGACAACAUUUGGAAACGAAUGCUAAUACCUGAUACUGUGAGAGAGCUUUGCGUCCCAUUAGCUAGUUGGAGAGGUAACGGCUCAACAAGGCGAUGAUGGGUAGCCGGCCUGAGAGGGUGAUCGGCCACAAGGGGAAUGAGACGCGGCGCUUACGCCUACGGGCGGCAGCAGUGGGGAAUAUUGUACAAAGGACCAAAGUCUGAUCCAGCAAUUCUGUGUGCACGAUGAAGUUUUCGGAAUGUAAAGUGAUUUCAGUUGGGAAGCGGUACCCACAGAAGAAGUGACGGCUAAAUACGUGCCAGCAGCCGCGGUAAUUC